GAGAAUUGAGGGAAAUGGAGUAGGGAGAGUCGGGAUGUGGGAAGGAAACCUUAGAAUUGAAGCUGAAACGUGCAUUUGCUUAGUUACUCAACAUGGUUCGAUAAGCCUCUAGCUGUGCGGAAGAACCACUUUUUGAUAUCGAGGAUCAGCUCGGAGGACUAGGGCGCCUCGGGUAUCAUAUUCUUCAUCAUCAAAGCUGAAGGAGUGAGGCAAAUGUUCUUCCCCGCCUCUGUACCAGCAUAUAUAUUAUCGAGCCCCCUGGUUCACUGAACAUCCCAAGAACAACCAUUAGCAGCAAUCCAAUGUGUCUUUCCCUCGUGAUGAGCUUUCGGGCUCCAUGUCCACUGAGAACGGGAAAAUUUUUUUUUGAAGAAGAAUGGACUUCCAUUUUGGUCUAAUUUAGGACUUGUGCAUAUCCUCUGUUCUUAGUCCAAAAGUGUGUGAAAUUGUAUAAAUUUGCUGAUUAUUUCUCGAUGUGUUUUACAUGGACUCGCGAAGCACUCUCUAUUAAUGAAUCUCGG